GGGAAACAAUGGAAACGAAACGAAAAAAUUAACAACUUUUUAACAUUAUUUUUUGUAGAUUUAAAUGAAUAUAUUAACAAGAUUUUUUUGUACACGUAUUAAAUAUCAUUUUAAUUUUAUUUUUAUACAAAAAUAUUAAAUAAAACUUUACAAUUUCAAUGUAAAAUUAUAAAUUUUUUAAGACACUUUUAAAAUUGAACAGUACCGUAUGAAAAUUCCGCGUAAACUAAAUCUUUUGCUAAAGAAAUGUCAAAAAUCAUUAAAAUAUCGUUGUUUUUUAUUUUGUUUUUGAUUUAUUAAACACCAAAAACUUUCAAAGAUGUUGCAGCUAUUGGACAUUUUGUUUAAUUGCAAGAAAUUUCUGGAAACUAUGAGGUUUGUUGUUUUUUAAAAUCCAGAAACUUCUGAAGUGUUACAAAGAAACAGUUCAUUGCUUGGUUUAUAAAACUCUGAAAUCUUCUCCUGUGUCUUAUAUUAAUCCCCCGCAACAUCUGAUGAAUCUCUAAGAACAGCGAACUAUUUUUAUUAUGUUCCGGUAUCUUUGAGAAACUUUCGGAGUAAUAACAACAGCUUCUUGUUAUCCGGAAACUUUGAAAAACACUGGGAAUUAUUAUUUAUAUAUAUUAAGUUCCAGUAACUUCGACAAUCUUCCGGCGAUGUUUUGUUUUGUUAAACUCCGGGUAUGUAUAAGAUUUUCAACGAAAUAUUGUAGUCUGUUGUUGUUUUUUGACAAAUUUAAACAUUGCUCGUGGCUAUAAUGUUUUAUUGAUAUUACAUAUUUCCAGUGGCUUCUAUAAUUUACCCGAAUUUUAAGUAUUAGCAUCUUUGGUGCUGCGUCUUCUUUAGGGGAUGCACUCAUAGCAUUUGAGUGUUAUUAAAUUUGUAGGAAUGUACUGCGGAAUCAUGAAGAAUAUAACCGACUUUAAAGUGUUAAGCGCAAAGAAGCUAUCCCUUUAUUACAGAAUGCAUUCAUAGCAUUUAAAAGCCAGACUAUGUGUGAUUGACAUUACAUACUUCCAGAAACUUCUAUAAUUUACCCGAAUUUAAAGUAUUAGCAUCUUUGGUACUGCGUCUUCCUUAGGGGAUGUUUCACAGCAAUUUCCUGUGUUUAAAUUCAUAGGAAUGUACGGCGGAAUCUUUCAAGAAACUAUGCAACUUUAAUGAAACAGCCAUACGCUAUAUGGUUGAUAAACUUUCAGAAGCCCCUUUGAAUAUAACGGAAUAUAAGUCGGAAUCUUUCUCGAAACUUUAAGCAACAUUUAUGGAACAUCAAAACGCUGUAUAAUUUAAAAACUUCCGGAGGUUUCGAAUUAAAAGUAUAAAAAUCUUUACAAUCGUCUUGUUAUUAGGUAAACUUCUAGAAGUUUCCAGACUAUAACAGAAUAUAAAGUAGUAACAGCUUUGGAGUUGUCGCUUUAUUUAAAGAAACAUUUUAAGCAUUUUGGUGUUAUUAGACUGGAAUGUAUUUCUGAGUUUUUCCGGAAACUAUAAACAAUGUUCUUUAGCAUGUUUAUCUUUAUUCUGUUGAGCUCUGGGAACAACGGGAAACUUGUUAAAAUGCUUGCGGCUCAGUU